rnacentral:rRNA from 1 species
AUUGAACGCUGGCGGCAGGCCUAACACAUGCAAGUCGAACGAGUGGCGGACGGGUGAGUAAUGUUUGGGAAACUGCCUGAUGGCGGGGGAUACCUACUGGAAACGGUAGCUAAUACCGCAUACCAUCAGAUGUGCCCAGAUGGGAUGAGCUUGUUGGUGGGGUAAUGGCUCACCAAGGCGACGAUCCCUAGCUGGUCUGAGAGGAUGACCAGCCACACGGGAACUGAGACACGGUCCAGACUCCUACGGGAGGCAGCAGUGGGGAAUAUUGCACAAUGGGCGAAAGCCUGAUGCAGCCAUGCCGCGUGUGUGAAGAAGGCCUUCGGGUUGUAAAGUACUUUCAGCGGGGAGGCGUUACCCGCAGAAGAAGCACCGGCUAACUCCGUGCCAGCAGCCGCGGUAAUAC